GUUUCAGAUUUCGAAGCUAGGUUUAGAUUUCACGGAAUCCUCGAGUUGCCGUUUCCCGAGCCCUAUACUCCGUGCAAAAAGACGUACCCAAGUGCCCUUGUUGCCAAGCAACCGCGAGAAAGUCCGCCCCCUCCACCACCCCCGAGGCGACAGCGCCCCUCCCUUCCAGCACUUUGACGUCCCAUCAAACCUGUAACAUCGUGCGGUUUGGUUGCCAUGCUCAUGUUCUUUGCCAAGAACGACCAACUUCUCAAAA